rnacentral:lncRNA from 1 species
GCCGGGCGGGCCGUGGCCUGGGAAUCCGGCCUUGGCCCCGCGGGGGCUCGGCCGGCGCCCGGCAGACUGUCGGGUGUUCUAUAUUCCCACGUGGAGCAUGAGGGAAGCGGCUGCGGCUCAAUCAUCUGGGCUCCCGUCUACCACAUGGGAGGCCGUGGGUUCACGUCCUGGGGCUCCUUGUGAAGUCAAGCUCGCCCGUGUGCCGCAGAGAGCUGAUGGCCGGCUCCCGCACAGCCGAGAGCUGACGCAGCAAGACGAGGCAACAAAGGGAGACAAGCAGACAACGCGCAGUGAGUGGACACAGAGCAGACAGCAAAGCAAGCAGCAAGGGGGGGAAUAAAAAAAAUAUUUUUUAAAAACUUCGUUUUAU